rnacentral:tRNA from 1 species
UCGCGGGUAGCUCAGUGGUAAGAGCGCCGUCUGAUUGGAAUGACGGGUAGUCGUGGGUUCGAAUCCCACCCCGCGAG